AUUGAACGCUGGCGGCAGGCUUAACACAUGCAAGUCGAGCGAGCGGCGGACGGGUGAGUAAUGUCUGGGAAACUGCCUGAUGGAGGGGGAUAACUACUGGAAACGGUAGCUAAUACCGCAUACCAUCAGAUGUGCCCAGAUGGGAUUAGCUAGUAGGUGGGGUAAGGGCUCACCUGGGCGACGAUCCCUAGCUGGUCUGAGAGGAUGACCAGCCACACUGGAACUGAGACACGGUCCAGACUCCUACGGGAGGCAGCAGUGGGGAAUAUUGCACAAUGGGCGAAAGCCUGAGGCAGCCAUGCCGCGUGUGUGAAGAAGGCCUUCGGGUUGUAAAGCUCUUUCAGCGGGGAGGCGUUACCCGCAGAAGAAGCACCGGCUAACUCCGUGCCAGCAGCCGCGGUAAUAC
rnacentral:rRNA from 1 species